CCUACGGGUGGCAGCAGUGAGGAAUAUUGGUCAAUGGGCGCAAGCCUGACCCAGCAACGCCGCGUGAAGGAAGAAGGCCCUCGGGUUGUAAACUUCUUUUAUUCGGGACGAAACACAUGCCGGUCCCGAAUGACUAAGCCACGGCUAACUACGGGCCCGGAGCCGCGGUAAUACGUAGGUGGCAAGCGUUAUGCGGAUUUACUGGGUUUAAAGGGCGUGUAGGCGGGAGGGCAAGUCAGACGUUAAAUUCCAGGGCCCAACCCUGGAAGGGCGUUUGAAACUGUUGUUCUUGAGUGAUGGAGAGGUAGGCGGAAUGCCGGGUGUAGCGGUGAAAUGCGUAGAUAUACGGAGGAACACCAGUGGCGAAGGCGGCCUGCUGGACAGCAACUGACGCUGAGGCGCGAAAGCGUGGGGAGCAAACAGGAUUAGAUACCCUUGUAGUC
rnacentral:rRNA from 1 species